rnacentral:tRNA from 1 species
GGCCGUCUGGCGGAAUGGCAGACGCGCUGGCCUCAGGUGCCAGUGUCCUUCGGGGCGUGGGGGUUCAAGUCCCCCGGCGGCUACAA